rnacentral:pre_miRNA from 1 species
GGUCUAAAGGAUUGUCUCUAGACGAAUUUUCGAAGCUCUAGAGAUAGUCUUUUAGUCAUU